UACGAAGGGUGCAAGCGUUACUCGGAAUUACUGGGCGUAGAGCGUGCGUAGGUGGUGAGUUAAGUCUGUCGUGAAAGCCCCGGGCUCAACCUGGGAAUGGCGAUGGAUACUGGCUCGCUAGAGUGCGGUAGAGGAGAGUGGAAUUCCCGGUGUAGCAGUGAAAUGCGUAGAGAUCGGGAGGAACAUCAGUUGCGAAGGCGGCUCUCUGGACCAGCACUGACACUGAGGCACGAAAGCGUGGGGAGCAAACAGG
rnacentral:rRNA from 1 species